AAAGCGUGGGGAGCAAACAGGAUUAGAUACCCUGGUAGUCCACGCCCUAAACGAUGCACACUAGUUGUUGCUAUGCUAGACAUAGCAGUAAUGCAGUUAACACAGUAAGUGUGCCGCCUGGGGAGUACGGUCGCAAGAUUAAAACUCAAAGGAAUAGACGGGGACCCGCACAAGCGGUGGAGCAUGUGGUUUAAUUCGACGAUACGCGAAGAACCUUACCUGGCCUUGACAUAGAUAGAACUUACUAGAGAUAGUUUGGUGCUAGUUUACUAGAGCUAUCAUACAGGUGCUGCACGGCUGUCGUCAGCUCGUGUCGUGAGAUGUUGGGUUAAGUCCCGCAACGAGCGCAACCCUCGUGUUUAGUUACUAACAGUUCGGCUGAGGACUCUAGACAGACUGCCUGGGUAACCAGGAGGAAGGUGAGGACGACGUCAAGUCAUCAUGGCCCUUACGGCCAGGGCUACACACGUGCUACAAUGGGGUAUACAAAGAGCAGCGAUACCGCGAGGUGGAGCAAAUCUCAUAAAAUAUCUCCCAGUUCGGAUAGUAGUCUGCAACUCGACUACUUGAAGUUGGAAUCGCUAGUAAUCGUAGAUCAGCAAUGCUACGGUGAAUACGUUCCCGGGUCUUGUACUCACCGCCCGUCACACCAUGGGAAUUGAAUUCAUUCGAAGCGGGGAUGCUAAAAUAGCUACCUUCCACAGUGGAUUUAGUAACUAGGGUGAAGUCGUAACAAGGUAACC
rnacentral:rRNA from 1 species